rnacentral:rRNA from 1 species
GAUGAACGCUGGCGGCGUGCCUAAUACAUGCAAGUCGAGCGAACGGACGAGAAGCUUGCUUCUCUGAUGUUAGCGGCGGACGGGUGAGUAACACGUGGAUAACCUACCUAUAAGACUGGGAUAACUUCGGGAAACCGGAGCUAAUACCGGAUAAUAUUUUGAACCGCAUGGUUCAAAAGUGAAAGACGGUCUUGCUGUCACUUAUAGAUGGAUCCGCGCUGCAUUAGCUAGUUGGUAAGGUAACGGCUUACCAAGGCAACGAUGCAUAGCCGACCUGAGAGGGUGAUCAGCCACACUGGAACUGAGACGCGGUCCAGACUCCUACGGGAGGCAGCAGUAGGGAAUCUUCCGCAAUGGGCGAAAGCCUGACGGAGCAACGCCGCGUGAGUGAUGAAGGUCUUCGGAUCGUAAAACUCUGUUAUUAGGGAAGAACAUAUGUGUAAGUAACUGUGCACAUCUUGACGGUACCUAAUCAGAAAGCCACGGCUAACUACGUG